CUGAGAUUAAUAUGAUGAAAGUGGGGAGGCGAAGCUGGCAAAAACAAAACAAAACAAAACAAAACAAAACAAAACAAAACAAAACAAAACAAAACAAAAAAAAACCCUCUCGAGUUUUGGUUUCUGGAGAAACCCAGAGACGGAGACAAACCGACUUCUUCCCCAGGGUUGUGGUGAGGACGAAGGAGCAAUGAUGGCUGUCAUUACUCAUCUAGGGCCUGUGUUGCAGGAAGCUAUACAGGAGAUUUGGGGCUUUCCUCUUCCUGUGGUGAAAUCUCCGCGCCCUGCAGGAGCUCAGAUCUGGGGAGAAGGCGAGUCCCUGUAAAAGAGAGAGCGAGAAGAGCGCAUGCGCCACAGGACGGUUGCCAUCGUCUAAGGGAAGGGUGUAGAAGGUUGUUGUCAGCCACCGGAACGGAGCAGUUCCUGUUAAGAUGGAGACUGAGGACAAUUGCUUGAGAAAGACCUGGGACGGUAAAGAUAACCCCGAGGAAAGGUCCAGAUUAUAGAAGGAAUCCCUUGGUGUCUGUGAGGCUAAGAUCUCCCUCUGAUCAACACGUCCUCAGGUCCUUGGGGAAGCUGGUCUAAUACUUGCAUAUGUUCUAAGUACAUGCUGCCGUAUGCUUUGCCUCCUCUCUGGAUGACUGAUAGUGCUGAACACAAUGUAAAUGCUGGGUGAAAGACCUUGCCCGGUAUUGCUUAAGCAACGAUGAUAAGAAAACAAAACUUGCCUUCUUUGCUUCCUCAAGAAACAGACGCCUGAGGUCUUGAGGAUGACAAUUAACUGGACUGGAUGCUCCUCCACUCACACCUUUUGAUGAAUGCCGGGGAAUCGCCUAGGAGCACUUUACCCAUUCAACCUGGGCUUCCCAAUUUGGUCUGAUUGGGUUUGCUGCGUCCUUCAAGGAGGCCUAAGACUUAUCAUACAGAUAACAACUUUCCGCUACCACCACCGGAUGUUCACCAUCAUCAUGGUUUCUUUAUGUCCUGUUCACAUUUACAAACAAUCCAAUCACUGCAACUCCUGUGGUCUAGUAACUCAGUGGGAGAAUGCCACGUGUUUUCUGCCCCCUGAGGAUAUGUGGUCAACCAUGACUGACUCAGUCUACUCCACCCAUUGGAGAGUGUGUUCUUUUUCAGUUCCCCAAAUGUAAAGGUUACAUGCCACCUAACUUGGGAAAAAAAAAAUGGUUAAGGCUGCCCUUACCAAUAUGGUAGCCACUAGUCACAUUUCAUUAGAGUUAUCUUUUUUUUUUUUUUUUUUUUUUUUUUUUUUUUUUUUUCAGUGCUGGGCACUGAACUCAGGACACUGUGAGUGCUGGAACUAAAUUUAAAUGAAUUGAAAUGAAAUACAACUUAAAAUUUAAUUCUUCAGCCACAUAAAGCGUAUUUCAAGUGCUUGCUGUUCACACUUACUUAGUGGCUACAACGCUGGACAUGGCAGAGAUAGGACAGAUAUAUUGGUAUCAGUGUGUGUGUGUGUGUGUGUUUGUGUGUGUGUGUGUGUGUGUGUGUGUGAUGUUUGCAUGUAUCACCACAGAAAGCAGCAUAUUACGCUGUCAACAUAUUUGUGCUGUGAACAUCUGAUCAAACAUCUGUA